AUAAAUUUUUGUAUUUAUUUUAUAUAGUCUUGUUAACUAUUAAAAAAAAGUUGAAUACAUAACAAAAAUGAUUUCUACAUUUGUUAAUUUAUUAAUACAUUUAUAUAUUUUUAUAUUAUUUUUUGUCUCAAACAUUUUCAUGUGAUUUAAUAUCAUUAUAUUAUAUCAAUGAUAUCAAGUUUUUUAGAUAUCCAUAUUGAAACUUUUUCAUUUUCUUUUAUAAAUCUUAAGUCAUAUUUAGAUGUGUUAUAAACACAAAACAUGAAAAUGCAUUUUUAAGAUCAGAUUUAAACAUUUCGAACAUAUAGCUUUAUAAUAUUCAAAUUGUGAUUUUGAAAUGUUACACGUAUAAAUAUUAUAGUAUAUAACAAUGCUGAAAUAUCAAAAUUAUCGUACAUUUUCAUAAACAAUAACUUAUAAUACAUAUAUGAUGUUAUUAUAUUAUUCUAUACGUUCUAUCUAUAUAUAUCUAUGUUAUAUCUAGCUUGUGCAUCUUAAAUUGCAAUUCUAACAUCGAACAAUUAACGAUUAUCGUAUAUUUGAAAUACAAAUUUUCUCGAUUUUAUAGUACAAAUUUAAUAGUUAUAUUUAUAAUUUUUAUUAGAAAGUAAACUUAAUAUUUCAUAAUUGUAUUUUCAUUAUAAAUAAUUAAAAUUGUGAAUUCUAUGUGAAUUAAAAUUUUAUAUUUACGUAAAAUAUUAUUAUAAGAAUAUAUUAUAAUUAUUAUAUUUAUAAUGGCAUUUUCUCGUAUACCUCGCCGUGAAGGUUAUAUAGUUGCAAUACUUGGUGCUAUCACUGGUUAUUAUAUAUGGAAUCAGCCAUUAAAAGAAUUUGCUGAAAAAAAUUUCUCUAAUACAGACUUAAAUAAAGAUAUAUAUCAUGAUCAAAAAUAAAUUUUUUAUGCAUCCUACGACCAAAAUAAGUUUUAUAAUAGCUGGUAUUCUAGGUUGUAUAGGUAGUUAUAAAUUUUAUUUCAAACAAUAUAUUAAUUUUUUUGGAAGAAAAGAAGCUGAAAAAGAAGCAAAUAUAUUAUAUGAAAAACUUAGAAAAAAAGAAGUAAAACUAUCAAAAAUAAAAUAUAAUUAAAUGUAUCGUAAAAAGUUUAUAUUUGUAAUAAUAGUUAUAUUGUAAUGUAUAUAUUUAAUAAAUAAUACAUUCAAUAAUUAUA